ensembl:lncRNA
AUACGGGACCAUAUAUGGCAUGUGGUCACAUGGUGUCUCCCGCAGAAAACCUUGUGUAAAAUACUGAGGUAGCCAUUUUUCCAAUCGCUUCUUAUGAGAAACCAACUGCCUCAACGGAUAUAUUAUAGAAUAUAUUUGUUAAAACCACCUUGAGGAUGGAUCCUAAACAACGUGUUUCUGUCUAUUAUGUAGCUAAUUUUGAAAAAGGUUUGGCGUUAUAGUUGUAGCAUUAUUCGGUCGAUUUCUCAGCCAAGCAUGGUGAAGAAACGGGAGCUUUUUCAGUCAAAAAUAAAAAAGUCAAAAAUAAUAUUUUUGGAAAAAAGGAACAUUUGCUAUCUAACUGGGAGUCUCCUGAGUGAAAGCAUCCGAAGUUCUUCAAAGAUCAGCGCAAACUGGCUCUAACCAGAAUAGAAAGAGGAGUGGGAGGUCCCGGUGCACAACUGAGCAAGAGGACAAGUACAUCUAGUUUGAGAAACAGACACCCCACAAGUCCUCAACUGGCUUCAUUAAAUAGUACCCGCAAAACACCAGUCUCAACGUCAACAGUGAAGAGGCGACUCCGGGAUGCUGGCCUUCUAGGCAGAGUUGCAAAGAAAAAGCCAUAUCUCAGACUGGCCAAUAAAAAUAAAAGAUUAAGAUCGACAAAAGAACACAGACACUGGACAGAGGAAAAGAAUCUCAAAUAUAAAAUAAUUUGAUUUGUUUAACAUGUUUUUAGUUAUUACAUGAUUCCAUAUGUGUUAUGUCAUAGUUUUGAUGUUUUCACUAUUAUUCCACAAUGUAGAAAAUAGAUCAAAUAAAGAAAAACCCUGGAAUGAGUAGGUGUGUUCAAACUUUUGACUGGCACUGUAUGUUCAGUAACAGAGGUAGUACAGCCAUUCACCAUAGGCCAGAAUGUAUUGUUUAAAAAAUCCACAAUCUGCAACAAUUUAAUUCCUGCCCUACCAUUUGUAGACGGCAUGUACUCAAACACCACAGAUUCUUUUAUAUA